UACCAGCACCCCGAGUGGUCGGGACGUUUUAUUGGGCCUAAAGCAUCCGUAGCCGGUUCUACAAGUCUUCCGUUAAAUCCAGCUGCUUAACAGAUGGGCUGCGGAAGAUACUAUGGAGCUAGGAGGCGGGAGAGGCAAGCGGUACUCGAUGGGUAGGGGUAAAAAUCCGUUGAUCCAUUGAAGACCACCAGUGGCGAAGGCGGCUUGCCAGAACGCGCUCGACGGUGAGGGAUGAAAGUUGGGGGGAGCAAACCGG
rnacentral:rRNA from 1 species